GGUGGUUGUCAGGUGAUGCACCCCAGAAUGGGGCUCCCUCCUAUCUGGUUCUGGGGUGCGUCACCCAAGAACCGCA
rfam:Myotis davidii contig317063, whole genome shotgun sequence.